AGAAACUAGAAUCUGAAGUUUCAUGAAAAAAACAACCAUGGAUUUCUACUAAAUCAACAAGCAAAUUUCGUUUUUGGUGAAGAUCAAGUUGCUCCUCUUGGUAAGUUUCUAAACUCGUUUUUAUACUAGACACCUACUAGUAUUUUCUACGUAUCUUUUUGUACAGAGCUCCGAUUUAAGUAAUCCAGGACUUUCUGGAAAGGUAUUUCAUAAAUAUAUAACUCUUAUGAAGGAACUAAAAUCUAGUUUUGUUGGUCUUUACUUGAAAAAGGAUCAGAAAGUACAGGGCAGGUGCUGUCCAGAUUUCCAGUUUUAGAAAUACUCCAUGUACGAACUAGGAAGCCAUUUUUAAUAUGGUUCUUGAUUCUCUUGUCUUUUGGGUUUUGACCCUACUUGAUUUGGGGCUUCGGUCCAUCUUGAUAUCUGAUUAUGCUUAGUGUGAUGGCAUGACGUACAUAUUGGGCGAAAAAUGGAUAUUUGGUAUACUCUCUUAAAUUGAUAGUAUACUCUUUCUAGACUCUUGAACAUUGUUAUUGAUAUUUGGAAAUACUUCUAAGUUUGAUAUUGAUAUGUUUGAUAUAUUUGUUCACUUGUUUUAAAUUAGGUUAAAUUGAGUUAACUAUGACUGAAAGGGGGAAUUGGAGAAUUUAAUGACUCCAAGCCUAAAGUUUAUACACCACUAAGCUUUAUGCUUAGCGAUAGUUAUUUUCUAUCGUAGGAAAUGUUCGGGAUGAAAUCUGAAGAUGGCCAGAGUGAAGUAGUCUUUUUGGGAGAAUUUAUGGAGAUCACAUUUGCAUAUGCACCUUGGUUUGCAUAGUUUUGGGAAAUGCACAUGAUGUACAUG
rnacentral:lncRNA from 1 species